CUCCGGAUGUUAGCGGCGGACGGGUGAGUAACACGUGGGUAACCUGCCUGUAAGACUGGGAUAACUCCGGGAAACCGGAGCUAAUACCGGAUAGUUCCUUGAACCGCAUGGUUCAAGGAUGAAAGACGGUUUCGGCUGUCACUUACAGAUGGACCCGCGGCGCAUUAGCUAGUUGGUGGGGUAAUGGCUCACCAAGGCGACGAUGCGUAGCCGACCUGAGAGGGUGAUCGGCCACACUGGGACUGAGACACGGCCCAGACUCCUACGGGAGGCAGCAGUAGGGAAUCUUCCGCAAUGGACGAAAGUCUGACGGAGCAACGCCGCGUGAGUGAUGAAGGUUUUCGGAUCGUAAAGCUCUGUUGUUAGGGAAGAACAAGUGCGAGAGUAACUGCUCGCACCUUGACGGUACCUAACCAGAAAGCCACGGCUAACUACGUGCCACCAGCCGCGGUAAUACGUAGGUGGCAAGCGUUGUCCGGAAUUAUUGGGCGUAAAGGGCUCGCAGGCGGUUUCUUAAGUCUGAUGUGAAAGCCCCCGGCUCA
rnacentral:rRNA from 1 species